rnacentral:pre_miRNA from 1 species
CUACUACUCCCUCCGUCCGGAAAUACUUGUCCUAGAAAUGGAUGUAUCUAGACUUAUUUUAGUUAUAGAUACAUCCACUUUGUUCAUUUCUAGGACAAGUAUUUACGGACGGAGGGAGUACUAC